GUCUCCGUGGCGCAGCGGUAGCGCAGUAGUCUCAUAUCAGCAAUGAAUAUGACCAAGUCGAAAAGAUUUGGAGACAUCUAAAGGUCGUGAGUUCGACCCUCACCGGGGACA